GGGUUGUGAGGUUAAGCGACUAAGCGUACACGGUGGAUGCCCUGGCAGUCAGAGGCGAUGAAGGACGUGCUAAUCUGCGAUAAGCGUCGGUAAGGUGAUAUGAACCGUUAUAACCGGCGAUUUCCGAAUGGGGAAACCCAGUGUGUUUCGACACACUAUCAUUAACUGAAUCCAUAGGUUAAUGAGGCGAACCGGGGGAACUGAAACAUCUAAGUACCCCGAGGAAAAGAAAUCAACCGAGAUUCCCCCAGUAGCGGCGAGCGAACGGGGAGCAGCCCAGAGCCUGAAUCAGUGUGUGUGUUAGUGGAAGCGUCUGGAAAGGCGCGCGAUACAGGGUGACAGCCCCGUACACAAAAAUGCACAUGCUGUGAGCUCGAUGAGUAGGGCGGGACACGUGGUAUCCUGUCUGAAUAUGGGGGGACCAUCCUCCAAGGCUAAAUACUCCUGACUGACCGAUAGUGAACCAGUACCGUGAGGGAAAGGCGAAAAGAACCCCGGCGAGGGGAGUGAAAAAGAACCUGAAACCGUGUACGUACAAGCAGUGGGAGCACGCUUAGGCGUGUGACUGCGUACCUUUUGUAUAAUGGGUCAGCGACUUAUAUUCUGUAGCAAGGUUAACCGAAUAGGGGAGCCGAAGGGAAACCGAGUCUUAACUGGGCGUUAAGUUGCAGGGUAUAGACCCGAAACCCGGUGAUCUAGCCAUGGGCAGGUUGAAGGUUGGGUAACACUAACUGGAGGACCGAACCGACUAAUGUUGAAAAAUUAGCGGAUGACUUGUGGCUGGGGGUGAAAGGCCAAUCAAACCGGGAGAUAGCUGGUUCUCCCCGAAAGCUAUUUAGGUAGCGCCUCGUGAAUUCAUCUCCGGGGGUAGAGCACUGUUUCGGCAAGGGGGUCAUCCCGACUUACCAACCCGAUGCAAACUGCGAAUACCGGAGAAUGUUAUCACGGGAGACACACGGCGGGUGCUAACGUCCGUCGUGAAGAGGGAAACAACCCAGACCGCCAGCUAAGGUCCCAAAGUCAUGGUUAAGUGGGAAACGAUGUGGGAAGGCCCAGACAGCCAGGAUGUUGGCUUAGAAGCAGCCAUCAUUUAAAGAAAGCGUAAUAGCUCACUGGUCGAGUCGGCCUGCGCGGAAGAUGUAACGGGGCUAAACCAUGCACCGAAGCUGCGGCAGCGACGCUGAUGCGUUGUUGGGUAGGGGAGCGUUCUGUAAGCCUGCGAAGGUGUGCUGUGAGGCAUGCUGGAGGUAUCAGAAGUGCGAAUGCUGACAUAAGUAACGAUAAAGCGGGUGAAAAGCCCGCUCGCCGGAAGACCAAGGGUUCCUGUCCAACGUUAAUCGGGGCAGGGUGAGUCGACCCCUAAGGCGAGGCCGAAAGGCGUAGUCGAUGGGAAACAGGUUAAUAUUCCUGUACUUGGUGUUACUGCGAAGGGGGGACGGAGAAGGCUAUGUUGGCCGGGCGACGGUUGUCCCGGUUUAAGCGUGUAGGCUGGUUUUCCAGGCAAAUCCGGAAAAUCAAGGCUGAGGCGUGAUGACGAGGCACUACGGUGCUGAAGCAACAAAUGCCCUGCUUCCAGGAAAAGCCUCUAAGCAUCAGGUAACAUCAAAUCGUACCCCAAACCGACACAGGUGGUCAGGUAGAGAAUACCAAGGCGCUUGAGAGAACUCGGGUGAAGGAACUAGGCAAAAUGGUGCCGUAACUUCGGGAGAAGGCACGCUGAUAUGUAGGUGAAGCGACUUGCUCGUGGAGCUGAAAUCAGUCGAAGAUACCAGCUGGCUGCAACUGUUUAUUAAAAACACAGCACUGUGCAAACACGAAAGUGGACGUAUACGGUGUGACGCCUGCCCGGUGCCGGAAGGUUAAUUGAUGGGGUUAGCGCAAGCGAAGCUCUUGAUCGAAGCCCCGGUAAACGGCGGCCGUAACUAUAACGGUCCUAAGGUAGCGAAAUUCCUUGUCGGGUAAGUUCCGACCUGCACGAAUGGCGUAAUGAUGGCCAGGCUGUCUCCACCCGAGACUCAGUGAAAUUGAACUCGCUGUGAAGAUGCAGUGUACCCGCGGCAAGACGGAAAGACCCCGUGAACCUUUACUAUAGCUUGACACUGAACAUUGAGCCUUGAUGUGUAGGAUAGGUGGGAGGCUUUGAAGUGUGGACGCCAGUCUGCAUGGAGCCGACCUUGAAAUACCACCCUUUAAUGUUUGAUGUUCUAACGUUGACCCGUAAUCCGGGUUGCGGACAGUGUCUGGUGGGUAGUUUGACUGGGGCGGUCUCCUCCUAAAGAGUAACGGAGGAGCACGAAGGUUGGCUAAUCCUGGUCGGACAUCAGGAGGUUAGUGCAAUGGCAUAAGCCAGCUUGACUGCGAGCGUGACGGCGCGAGCAGGUGCGAAAGCAGGUCAUAGUGAUCCGGUGGUUCUGAAUGGAAGGGCCAUCGCUCAACGGAUAAAAGGUACUCCGGGGAUAACAGGCUGAUACCGCCCAAGAGUUCAUAUCGACGGCGGUGUUUGGCACCUCGAUGUCGGCUCAUCACAUCCUGGGGCUGAAGUAGGUCCCAAGGGUAUGGCUGUUCGCCAUUUAAAGUGGUACGCGAGCUGGGUUUAGAACGUCGUGAGACAGUUCGGUCCCUAUCUGCCGUGGGCGCUGGAGAACUGAGGGGGGCUGCUCCUAGUACGAGAGGACCGGAGUGGACGCAUCACUGGUGUUCGGGUUGUCAUGCCAAUGGCACUGCCCGGUAGCUAAAUGCGGAAGAGAUAAGUGCUGAAAGCAUCUAAGCACGAAACUUGCCCCGAGAUGAGUUCUCCCUGAC
rnacentral:rRNA from 1 species